AUGGAAGGGGGUGCCAGUGUAGCUGGAAAGGCUGAGUUUAAGGAGUGCUUACGCCUGACUUGGAGCCAGCCUUAUAUUCUUCGACUUGUUUUCUCUGCUGGCAUCGGCGGUCUUCUUUUCGGAUAUGAUACAGGUGUCAUAUCUGGAGCACUUCUGUUCAUCCGAGAUGAUUUUAUCGAGUUACAAAAGAACACUACUCUAAGGGAAACAAUAGUGAGUAUGGUUGUAGCUGGAGCUAUUGUUGGAGCUGGACUUGGUGGCUGGAUGAAUGACAGAUUUGGAAGGAGGCCUUCCCUCAUUAUCGCAGAUGUUCUGUUCCUUGCAGGUGCCGCUAUCAUGGCCUUUGCCCCGUCACCUGCUGUUAUCAUUGUUGGGAGGGUCUUUGUUGGUCUUGGAGUUGGAAUGGCUUCCAUGACAGCUCCUCUGUAUAUCUCCGAAGUCUCCCCGGCUAGAAUAAGAGGGGCGCUAGUGAGCACAAAUGGCCUUCUUAUCACUGGAGGGCAGUUCAUGGCAUACCUUAUUAAUCUGGCAUUCACCAAGGUGCCGGGAACUUGGAGGUGGAUGCUUGGCAUUGCAGGAUUCCCCGCCCUUCUUCAGUUCAUACUAAUGUUGACGCUCCCAGAAUCACCAAGAUGGUUAUACAGGCAGGGUAGGAAAGAGGAAACUGCUGCCAUUCUGCGGAAGAUUUACCCUGCAAAUGAGGUGGAAGAAGAGAUUGAGUCCUUGCGAAAAUUAGUUGAAGAUGAGAUGGUCCUGGAGGGGUCCAUAGGCGAGCAGAGCGUAUUUGGCAAGCUGAAGAAAGCAUUUGGAAGCAAGGUUGUCCGCCGUGGCCUCAUGGCCGGUGUCAUUGUGCAGGUCGCCCAGCAAUUUGUCGGCAUCAACACUGUCAUGUACUACAGCCCGACGAUCGUCCAGCUGGCGGGUUUCGCGUCCAACGACACGGCCAUGGCCCUCUCACUCAUCACCUCAGGACUCAAUGCCGUCGGCUCGAUCGUGAGCAUGUUCUUUGUGGACAGGGUUGGCCGGAGGCGCCUGAUGCUCCUCAGUCUUGUUGGCAUCGUCGUGUGGCUCGCUGUGCUUGGCAGCACUUUCCUCAGAGCCGCACACAAUGCUCCACCUGUCAGCGAUGUGGAGACGCGUCCGUUUGCUAAUCAGACGUGCCCAGAGUACAACCCCAACGUCCACUGGAGCUGCAUGGACUGCCUCAGGGCCGCAUCCACGUGCGGGUUUUGUGCUCAUGAAGGAAACGCGCUUCGUCCCGGCGCUUGCCUGGCACUGAACAACGAAACGCGAGGGGUGUGCCAUGCCGACCACCGCGAGUUCUACUCGGAAGGGUGCCCAAACAAGUAUGGGUGGCUGGCGCUGCUCGCGCUGGCCGCAUACAUUGUCUCCUACUCGCCCGGCAUGGGCACCGUGCCAUGGAUCGUCAACUCGGAGAUAUACCCGCUGCGCUUCAGGGGAAUCUGCGGUGGCAUCGCCGCGGUGGCCAACUGGGUGUCCAACCUCAUCGUGACGCAGACGUUCCUGACCCUGACCAAGGCGCUGGGCUCGGCGGCCACCUUCUUACUCUUCUGCGGCGUCUCGUUCAUGGCGCUCAUCGUGGUGUUCCUCACCGUGCCGGAGACCAAGGGCCUGCAGUUCAAGGAGGUGGAGAAGAUGCUUGGGAGCAAGAACUACAGGCCUUGGAAGCGGUACCACCCGGAGGCACCGACAAAAGGGCGCGAGAUUGGGGUCGCUAUGCUAUGA
rnacentral:rRNA from 1 species